ACGGAUGAUGGCGAUUACAAUAUCAAAUUGCGUAACCUGAUCCGAUUUUUAGGGGAAGGUGACAAGACCAAAAUUACGUUACGUUUUCGUGGACGUGAGAUCGCCCAUCAGAAUAUUGGCAUGCAGAUGAUGGAGCGGGUUAUGGCUGAUCUUGGAGAGCAUGGUACCGUAGAGCAGUACCCUAAAAUGGAAGGCCGUCAGAUGGUGAUGGUGCUGGCGCCGAAGAAAAAAUAAUUUAUGAGGUAAACCUCCGGCUACGUCGGAGUGAUUUUUAAUACUGCUCGGGUUAAGGGGCUGGUCAGAGCAGAUUAGUAGUAAACAGU
rnacentral:sRNA from 1 species